UCAGGACGACGCUGGCGGCGUGCUUAACACAUGCAAGUCGAACGAUGAAGCCCAGCUUGCUGGGUGGAUUAGUGGCGAACGGGUGGGUAACACGUGAGUAACCUGCCCUUGACUCUGGGAUAAGCGUUGGAAACGACGUCUAAUACCGGAUACGAGCUUCCACCGCAUGGUGAGUUGCUGGAAAGAAUUUUGGUCAAGGAUGGACUCGCGGCCUAUCAGCUUGUUGGUGAGGUAACGGCUCACCAAGGCGACGACGGGUAGCCGGCCUGAGAGGGUGACCGGCCACACUGGGACUGAGACACGGCCCAGACUCCUACGGGAGGCAGCAGUGGGGAAUAUUGCACAAUGGGCGAAAGCCUGAUGCAGCAACGCCGCGUGAGGGACGACGGCCUUCGGGUUGUAAACCUCUUUUAGCAGGGAAGAAGCGAAAGUGACGGUACCUGCAGAAAAAGCACCGGCUAACUACGUGCCAGCAGCCGCGGUAAUACGUAGGGUGCAAGCGUUGUCCGGAAUUAUUGGGCGUAAAGAGCUCGUAGGCGGUUUGUCGCGUCUGCUGUGAAAUCCCGAGGCUCAACCUCGGGUCUGCAGUGGGUACGGGCAGACUAGAGUGCGGUAGGGGAGAUUGGAAUUCCUGGUGUAGCGGUGGAAUGCGCAGAUAUCAGGAGGAACACCGAUGGCGAAGGCAGAUCUCUGGGCCGCUACUGACGCUGAGGAGCGAAAGGGUGGGGAGCAAAC
rnacentral:rRNA from 1 species